rnacentral:misc_RNA from 1 species
GAUGAAGAACGCAGCGAAAUGCGAUAAGUAGUGUGAAUUGCAGAAUUCAGUGAAUCAUCGAAUCUUUGAACGCACAUUGCGCCCCUUGGUAUUCCAUGGGGCAUGCCUGUUCGAGCGUCAUUUGUACCCUCAAGCUUUGCUUGGUGUUGGGCGUCUUGUCGUAUUACGACUCGCCUUAAAUACAUUGGCAGCCGGCACUUUGGCCUAGGAGCGCAGCACAUUUUGCGAUCGUAGCCCGUUGUACUGGCGUCCAUCAAGAACAUUUACCACGUUUGACCUCGGAUCAGGUAGGGAUACCCGCUGAACUUAAGCAUAUCAUAAGCGGAGGA